rnacentral:rRNA from 1 species
AAUUCGAUUGAGUUUGAUCAUGGCUCAGAUUGAACGCUGGCGGCAUGCCUAACACAUGCAAGUCGAACGGCAGCACAGCAGAGCUUGCUCUGUGGGUGGCGAGUGGCGGACGGGUGAGUAAUGCAUCGGGACCUACCUGAACGUGGGGGAUAACGUAGGGAAACUUACGCUAAUACCGCGUACGUCCUACGGGAGAAAGCGGGGGACCUUCGGGCCUCGCGCGGUCAGACGGACCGAUGUUCGAUUAGCUAGUUGGUAAGGUAAUGGCUUACCAAGGCGACGAUCGAUAGCUGGUCUGAGAGGAUGAUCAGCCACACUGGAACUGAGACACGGUCCAGACUCCUACGGGAGGCAGCAGUGGGGAAUAUUGGACAAUGGGCGCAAGCCUGAUCCAGCAAUGCCGCGUGUGUGAAGAAGGCCUUCGGGUUGUAAAGCACUUUUAUCGGGAGCGAAAUACCACGGGUUAAUACCCUAUGGGGCUGACGGUACCCGAGGAAUAAGCACCGGCUAACUUCGUGCCAGCAGCCGCGGUAAUACGAAGGGUGCAAGCGUUAAUCGGAAUUACUGGGCGUAAAGGGUGCGUAGGCGGUUAGUUAAGUCUGUUGUGAAAUCCCCGGGCUCAACCUGGGAAUGGCAAUGGAUACUGGCUAGCUAGAGUGUGUCAGAGGAUGGUGGAAUUUCCGGUGUAGCGGUGAAAUGCGUAGAGAUCGGAAGGAACAUCAGUGGCGAANGCGGCCAUCUGGGACAACACUGACGCUGAAGCACGAAAGCGUGGGGAGCAAAC